GCCGGUCCCUGCAGAGCCCCGGGGGUGCCGGACCUUCCUCCCCACCCCGCUCAAGGCCAGAGAGGAGCCCGGGAAGCUGGAUUAUCCGCACACUUUUCCAUUUUUUUUUUCUUUUUCCAACAAAGGGACUUGCCAGGGUUUCUGCAAAGAUUCCUGCGGCUGGGGACGCACCUGCGAAGCACCCGAAAAUGCAUGCUCUAUACAUAAUAGGAUCGGCGACCUGCUAGCGAUAGUUUGUACACUGUACUUAGUAGCAAGCUUCCGGAAGAAGAAGAAGGAAAACAAACAAACAAAAACCCACCAGUUUCUCCAUUUUCUUCAAGUAGGAAAACGACGGACAGUCAUUAGGAUGAAGAUGCUGAUAGUAGUGCUAUGGGAUGUGUGGCCUGUCUUAGUGUGUCCCCCUCCCUGUGGCUGGGUUCCUCCCUGAGGCUUGUUCCAGAACACCCGUGGGGGGGCCCUUCCCGGAAUGUUCUAGAACCCCGUGGAUCCUUCCCGAACGUUCUAGAAGGGCCGGGAAUUCCGGAGACACCCCCCCUCCCCCCUCCCCACCCAUACUGCAGCUUUAUGAAAGUUAGAGAAAACUGUAACAUAUCUCUUAUAUAUUAAAAAAAAAGAAAAAGAAAAACCAGGAAAAAAAAAAACGUUUAAAAGUUUUAAAAGAGAAAUCGCAAUUACUACAGAUUGAAGUAUUUUAUUCUUUUUUGACUUGAAGAAUUAUAUUUCAUAUUGCAAAGAUGUUUACAAGUAUUUUAAUUUAAGUUCAGUGAACUUUUUUGUAGCUGGGUUAAAUCUUUUUUAUUUUUUAGUACGGCCUCCUGGCGGGAGAGCAAAACACUGUAUUCUUUUGAUAAUCACGGCGUUGCGACGGGGAUCACAGACAAACCCGUACACACGUGCAACCUUUCGAACAGUAUUCUGUGGGGAUGGAGAAUUUUUUUAGAGGUUCGGGCGGAUCUUCUAGCUCCCCUUCACCCAGCAUUUUUCUAUUCGGUGACAGAAAACGUAUUUUAUUCUAUAUUAUUACAAGAAAAAAAAAAAAA